rnacentral:lncRNA from 1 species
AGCAAGGUUGUCGGCUCUCCGGACAUUCCCGAAGUCCUGCGUUUAACACCCUUGCCUUCAGCCGUACUCACACCGUGCAAGAUCUUGCAGAGAUUAAGCAUCCGCAGCGCAUGCAUACAUUUUUUCGUUAAUUGCAUAAACAUAUAUUUAAAACAUGUUUUUGUAUUAACUUUAACGGUUCAUUUUUAAACAUACGACAAUUUGUAGCCGUUUGACCAUUCUGUGGAAAGUGCGUACAUGCGAACUACUUUGUUUACGUUUUCCAAGUUGGCGGCCGCCAGCGUACAAACCAUGCAGGUAUGAUUUUUUACUUAUAUUAAACGAUAUAACUAUUUUAAAUCAAUGUAUAUGACAGAAUUCAAUUGCAUAGGUGUCAGGUCUGAUCGCUGGUGGACAUUAAACAAAAUUGCCGUUUCUUGGAAGGAGAAAUAACAGAAAUUUAAAAAAGGGGGAGGGAGUACUUAAAAAAAAGGUAUCACACUUUAUUCUAGCUGCGGUACCAUACUGUGGCAUGCAUAAAUUUAUUCUCAUAGACAGAAAAUAGUGUUUGCUGGAUAUUAAAGAUAGUAGGAUUACAGUAGGAUCACCCCCUCCCCCCCCCAAAAAAAACCCCACUGCAUUAUCAUUAUUGUGUGGCAUUAGCAUGAUCAAGGAUUUGUACUAUACAAAUCCUUAGUAAGUAAGUAAGUAAGUAAAUCAGUAAUUAAGUAAGUAAAAAUUUAUUUGGAUUCAGCAUAUUGACAAACAGUACAAACAUAUGCUCUAAUGAGCUUUUCACCGAAUAUAAAAACAUAUGCAAUAAAAAAAUAAAACAAGGCAUGCGGCAUGCAAAAUAAAUUAUAAAAAGCAGCACCAAAAAUUAGCUCUAAGCAAUAGCAUAUACAUGUAUCUGCUAUUGGAAGCCGCAUGCAUGAUUAGGAAUCAAAUGAGCUAGCAAUCAAAGGUUACCUAUGAAAUUAUGGUGUCAUUAUUUAUUUGUACAUGUAUGUCAUGAAAAGAAAAAAUCUACUUCACAGGUUUUGAAAACUAAUUAUAUAUUUUUCUCUGUGUCUAUAAUUUCUAAACAAUUAAAACAUUUAAAAGCUGGAGUAUAUAUCAGUAACACUCAAGAAUGUGUCCACUCCUUAAAAGGAAGAUAGAUAGAUAAUAGGCUGCAAAUACUAAUAGUUAUGUUCAAAUGCCAGAAUCAUGUAUUUUAAUUUACAAAAAUGUACAAGUACAAUGCAUAAUCACCCAUUUUUUUUACUAUGUACACAAAAUGUACAUGUACAUUCCAUUUAUCAGUUGGAUCAUCUAGCUACUAAUGGCUAGUUUACAGAAAACCAGGCAUAUAUAAUACUUUUAUAUUCCACUAACCAUAUAUUAUAUGAUUAUAUAUUUUUAAUUUUUGUGUUUUUGUUGAAUUUAUGCUAUUUUGCAUUGGUGUCCUUGUCUUCAAUUUCCCCCCUUUAAGACUUGCAUGUGUAGGCUGAAGGUAAAGACACAGAAGAGUGCAGGGGGAAUUCAUGAUCAGUACCCCUCUUUUGUUGACUAGCUGUAUAUUUUAAUAUAUAUAUAUCUAGUGCUGAUUCUGAUGAUAGAUAAUUAUUUUUUUAGGUUUCUUAUACUAAGUAACUGAUUAUCAUGACACUGUCAUAACAUGAGGUGCCAGGACAGGCAGGAGAUGUGAGAAGUAGCAGUUUUAAAAUUUUAUCGCGGGAAAUGUUAAUUUCAAUAGUAUUUUAUCUUUUGGUAAGUUUUAGAUAGUCUUAUAUAUAAAAUAAUUAGAAUUUUGAAUGUAUAUACAUGAGGGUUUGGAUGGGGUUAAAUGAUUAAAGAAAAAUGCCCUUAAAAAAUGAAGAUUAGAGAAUAACGGGCAAAAAAAAAUGAAAAUUAUAAGAGAAAAAAGGGGUUAAUUUUUUGAAGAUUAGAGAAAAAAAGGGGUUAAUUUUUUAAAGAUUAGAGAAAAAAAAGGGUGAAAAUUAAAUGUUUACAGAAUAACAGACCCCCCCCCCCCCAAAUCCAGACCCUCAUACAUACAUACAUGUACAUAUAGAACAUAAUUUUUUUUUUCAAAAAUAGGACAAGUGAAUUCAUGUUUAAAGUGUAAAUUAAGUUUCUAGUUUAAAAAAAUAACAUUUAAUGAAAAAACUAAGGUCAUAUAUAUAAAUGUAAAAUACUGCAAUCUUUUAAAACAGAUAAAAUAAUGUCAAAUGGCAAUUUUACACCAUGAAAUAUAGUCCUCAUUAAAACUGAUUAUUUCUGUAAUAUGCUAGAAAUAUAGGUAGGGUCAAAUAACUCUACUUUUGUACUUGAAUGUCGGUUUGAUAGUAAACUAAUGUGCAAUUUUAUAUGACUGUAAAUGAGAAAUCAGCUAAUUUUGAUUAUUUUUGUCAAAAUAGUCAAUAUUUAGAGAGUGUGUUCGGAGUUCCAAAAAAACAUAUUCUAAGUAUGAAAAUAAACAGUUUUUCUAAGACUUGCUGAUCUUACUCUUUCAUUCAUAUAAUAUUACAUUCAAUUUUGGCAAAAAUGACAAACUAUAGCAAAUUUAUAGCAACUCACCAAAAUUUGAUUAUAGCAUACCAAAAUUUUGUCAUAUUGUAAAUUAGUUCAAUACACUGUUUCAUAAGGUUUUCAUCAUCAUGUAAAUAUUGAAAUCUGUCACUAAUCAUGUGUAUUCUUCAAAUAUCUAUAAAUUUGUGAUUUUUCUUUUCUUGAUUUGAAGUUGGAGAGAAUUGGAGAUUUGAGCCACUAUAAACAUACAUGUAUAAUAUCACUGUACUAGUGUAUACAUGUUUUUUAAGGGGCCAGCUGGACACUGCCUCCUGGUGCGGGAGUUUCUCGCUACAUUGAAGACCCAUUGGUGGCCUUCAGCUGUUGUCUGCUCUAUGGUCUGGUUGUUGUCGCUUUGACACAUUCCCCAUUUCCUUUCUUAAUUUUAUGUAUAAAAUAUAUCUCUGCAUAUCUGAAGCCCCAGACUAGUAAAUUUCUUUUGGACUAGUAAGUUUUUGCAAAACUUUGUUUGAACCAAUAAGAAAAAUGUCAGAAUAUUGGUCUUUGGACUAGUAGUUGAGAAAAGAUUUUGGUGCAGACUGUAUAUAUAUAUAUCACAUUUCCUUUAUCAAAAGUUUUUUUCAAGCAGAAAAAAAAAAUGGGUUGAAGAAAAAUUAUUGAAAGCUACAUUUGUCAAAAUUAAAUAUUUGCGGAAAAUUUGCUCUUUUUAGUGGCCUCCUCUCAUGCUUGUUUCUAGCUAUAAAUUGCACUUAUCAAAGACUUAGACAGACGCAUGUUUUAUUUUACUAAACAUAUAAAUAUAUAUAUUAUAUCAGAUUUUGAAUUAUUUCUUCUAGAAUGGUGUUUUUCUAUGCAUUCUACAAACUAGUUUUCUUUAAACAAAGCUCUAAAAUACCUUGUGAAAUAUAAUUUUAGCUUUUAAAUUACAUUCUGUAGUACAUUGUAGUUGCAAAGGGAGAUAAGAUCAAUAUGUAAUAGCUUCAAAGAUAUGAAAAAAUAUAUAUGUUAUAUUUUACUAGAUUUUUGCACAUGAUCUCCUGAUAUGUUCUGAAUUUGAUCAUAGGUAUUUUUUUUUAUUGUUCAUGUAUCAUUAUGAAUUGGUUUUUUUUCUUAUUUUUGUAUGAACUAUUCUGAUCAUUCAUAAAGUCAAAUAGACAAUACCAAACUUUGAUAAAAAAAUGAUAUGCAAUGCAGUACAUAUACUAUAAAUCUAUUAAUUAAUGAUUUUUUCUUCUAGAAUGGACAUAUAUGGAACUGUAACACAGAGAAGCUGACUUGAAAGAAAUAUACUUAGUAUUUUGUGUGCUGAUAGAGAAUGACAGUCACAGACUUUUAUAAAUGUUGUAAUUCAAACAAUUAUCAUACACACAGGAAAUAAACAUAUAUAAUUUUUACUUGUUUUUUUUAAGUCAAUCUUAAAAAUCAAUCUAUGGAGAAGGGUCAUAGUCAAAAACUAGUAAAUUUUGAUGUAAGCCAUUACAGACAUCCAUAUGGCCUUUACUAAUGAGAAAUAGUUCAAAGCCUAACAUAUGUUAAUGCACCAG